GAUGAACGCUGGCGGCGUGCUUAACACAUGCAAGUCGAACGGUGAACGAGGGAGCUUGCUCCCUCCGGAUCAGUGGCGAACGGGUGAGUAACACGUGAGCAAUCUGCCCCGAACUCUGGGAUAAGCGCUGGAAACGGCGUCUAAUACCGGAUACGACACGCGAAGGCAUCUUCUGCGCGUGGAAAGAAUUUCGGUUCGGGAUGAGCUCGCGGCCUAUCAGCUAGUUGGUGAGGUAACGGCUCACCAAGGCGACGACGGGUAGCCGGCCUGAGAGGGUGACCGGCCACACUGGGACUGAGACACGGCCCAGACUCCUACGGGAGGCAGCAGUGGGGAAUAUUGCGCAAUGGGCGCAAGCCUGAUGCAGCAACGCCGCGUGAGGGACGACGGCCUUCGGGUUGUAAACCUCUUUUAGUAGGGAAGAAGCGAAAGUGACGGUACCUGCAGAAAAAGCACCGGCUAACUACGUGCCAGCCGCCGCCGUAAAAC
rnacentral:rRNA from 1 species